rnacentral:rRNA from 1 species
AGAGUUUGAUCAUGGCUCAGAACGAACGCUGGCGGUGUGCUUCACACAUGCAAGUCGAACGAGGUAGCAAUACCUAGUGGCGGACGGGUGAGUAACACGUGGGAAUCUUCCUUUGGGUGGGGGAUAGCAGGCCGAAAGGCCUAUUAAUACCGACUAUAUGUGCAUAUUUCGACAGAGGUAUGCAUGAAAGCAGUAAUGCGCCCGAAGAUGAGCCCGCGCCCGAUUAGCUAGUUGGUAGUGUAACGGACUACCAAGGCGACGAUCGUUAGCUGGUCUGAGAGGACGAUCAGCCACACUGGGACUGAGACACGGCCCAGACUCCUACGGGAGGCAGCAGUGGGGAAUAUUGGACAAUGGGGGCAACCCUGAUCCAGCCAUGCCGCGUGAGUGAUGAAGGCCUUCGGGUUGUAAAGCUCUUUUGGCGGGGACGAUGAUGACGGUACCCGCAGAAUAAGCCCCGGCUAACUUCGUGCCAGCAGCCGCGGUAAGACGAAGGGGGCUAGCGUUGUUCGGAAUUACUGGGCGUAAAGCGAGUGUAGGUGGUUGUCAUAGUCAGGUGUGAAAGCCUUGAGCUCAACUCAAGAAAUGCACUUGAUACUGGGCGACUAGAGGACCGGAGAGGAUAGUGGAAUUCCCAGUGUAGUGGUGAAAUACGUAGAGAUUGGGAAGAACACCAGUGGCGAAGGCGGCUAUCUGGACGGUUUCUGACACUAAGACUCGAAAGCGUGGGGAGCAAACAGGAUUAGAUACCCCGGUAGUCC